rnacentral:rRNA from 1 species
UAGUCAUAUGCUUGUCUGAAGGACUAAGCCAUGCAUGUCUAAGUAUAAGCAAUUUAUACUUGUGAAACUGCGAAUGGCUCAUUAAAUCAGUUAUAGUUUAUUUGAUAUUUACUUGCUACAUGGAUACCGGUGGCAAAGUACCGCUAAUACAUGCAAAAACCCUUCACGGGGUGUAUUUAUUAGAUACGCAAACCAACCUGGGCAACCAGAGUAUGCUGAAUCAUAAUAACUUCACGAAUCGCAUGCGCAAGCGGCGAUGAAUCAUUCAAAUUUCUGCCCUAUCAACUUUUGAUAGGUAACGGAGAAUUAGGGUUCGAUUCCGGAGAGGGAGCCUGAGAAAUGGCUACCACAUCCAAGGAAGGCAGCAGGCGCGCAAAUUGCCCAAUCUCGAUACGAGGAGGCAGCGACAAGAAGUAACAGUGCUGGGCUUUUUCAAGUCUAGUAAUUGGAAUGAGUACAAUUUAAACACCUUAACGAAUUCCAUU